CAGAGGGCGCGAGCGUUGUCCGGAAUCACUGGGCGUAAAGGGCGCGUAGGUGGCCACUAUAAGGCCGCGGUGAAAGUUCGGGGCUCAACCCCGAAUCUGCCGCGGCGACUGUAGGGCUUGGGCACUGUAGAGGCAGAUGGAAUUCCGGGUGUAGCGGUGGAAUGCGUAGAGAUCCGGAAGAACACCAGUGGCGAAGGCGGUCUGCUGGGCAGUGGGAGCGCAAGCUCCUCUUAGCCGACACUGAGGCGCGACAGCGUGGGGAGCAAACAGGAUUAGAUACCCUGGUAGUCCACGCCGUAAACGAUGGGCACUAGGUGCUCUGGGGAGCGACCCCCGGGGUACCGGCGCUAACGCAUGAAGUGCCCCGCCUGGGGAGUACGGCCGCAAGGCUG
rnacentral:rRNA from 1 species